rnacentral:rRNA from 1 species
GUGCAGCAGGCGCGAAAACUUCACACUGUGCGAAAGCACGAUGAGGGAAUCCCAAGUGCUUGCACGUAAGUGUAAGCUGUUUCUCUGUCUAAAACGCAGAGAGAGUAAGGGCUGGGUAAGACGGGUGCCAGCCGCCGCGGUAAUACCUGCAGCUCAAGUGGUGACCGUUAUUAUUGGGCCUAAAACGUCCGUAGCCGGUUUAAUAAAUGCCUGGGUAAAUUGUGUAGCUUAACUAUACGAAUUCCGGGUAGACUGUUAAACUUGAGACCGGGAGAAGUUAGAGGUACUCCUGGGGUAGAGGUGAAAUUCUGUAAUCCUAGGGGGACCACCAGUGGCGAAGGCGUCUAACUAGAACGGGUCUGACGGUGAGGGACGAAGCCCUGGGGC